ACUGAAUAUGUUAAAACCUGUCAUUUUCUCCCACUUAUGAAAUACUGCAGUGAAGAAUGCGGGGUGCAGUAGUGUUACCCUGUGGAAAUCAGCCUUGUUGCUGGUGGUAGUAGUUUGGAUACAUGUCUGAGCCUGAGUGGGUGGUGGUUGUUAAAUCAUGUGGAGGAGGUGUGUGUGUGAGUAGUGGGCUGUGCUCUCUACAUCCACAGCAGAGUAUUUGUAUUUGUAUCCAUGUCUGGAGGCCCCAGAAUUCAGAAUGAAUUUGUGGAAAUUACACUUACCAUAUGGAUUUGAUAUUACCUGAAUCAGUAUUAAGAUUUUAAUUGUAUGGUGUGCUUAAGCCUUCCUCAACUAAUAGCUUAUUUUCUGCUGCAGUAUUGCAGCCUUACAGGAACUUGUCUGAAUGCUGUGCCCUCCUAAGGACUUGGUCUUGAGAGGAAUUCAGGAAAUGGAAAAGCAAAGCCAGCUCUUUUAAACAGAAGUGGAUGGUGUUCUGUGGUUGAAGAUUUUACGUACUUACUUUCUCUUAGUUGGUUUCAUCUGGUAUUUGUAAACUAACUUCCUGCUAAUCAAGUGUUUUUAUAGAGACAAGAUGUUUUUUCUUGCUGGCUGUUUUGUCCACAGAAUUUACUGGGGCUCAGAUACAUUCAGGGUGGACUGUCUUGAAUAACUGAACUAAAGAAAACCUUGUAACUGUAGUUCAUGUCUUUCUUCUAACAUAGGCUAUAUACAUGUA